GGCUUAAUUUGACUCAACGCGGGAAAUCUUACCGGGUCCGGACACACUGAGGAUUGACAGACAGUAUUCAUGCCGACUGAAUUUCGACAUAUUUCAAAUGUGCGAGUUCUUUCAUGAUUGUGUGAUAGGUGGUGCAUGGCCGUUCUUAGUUCGUGGAGUGAUCUGUCUGCUUAAUUGCGUUUCAUAUUUACGAAUGUCGCUUACGUGAUUGCUGCAGACCUCGUCUCUUUAUUGAGUGCGACGCGUCUCUUCAACUCACUCGCACAUUCUCUUGAACGCAACGAGCGUGACCGCAACCUCUUGUUGUGUAUACCAAGUGUGUCGUUGCUUGCAACUCACACUCCAAUGCACGUAUUUUGGUCACAUUGUCUCGGCCGUCGCGCGCAGCCUCGGCUGUGUCGGCGCCAGCAAUGUCCAAAUAAACUUGAGGGACCGCUGUAACAAUUCUUUUAAACCAGAGGAAGGUUGCGGCAAUAACAGG
rnacentral:rRNA from 1 species